GACCAUCUCCUAAGGCUAAAUACUCUCUAGUGACCGAUAGUGAACCAGUACCGUGAGGGAAAGGUGAAAAGCACCCCGGAAGGGGAGUGAAAUAGAACCUGAAACCGUGUGCUUACAAGUAGUCAGAGCCCGUUAAUGGGUGAUGGCGUGCCUUUUGUAGAAUGAACCGGCGAGUUACGAUUUGAUGCAAGGUUAAGCAGUAAAUGUGGAGCCGUAGCGAAAGCGAGUCUGAAUAGGGCGUUUAGUAUUUGGUCGUAGACCCGAAACCAGGUGAUCUACCCUUGGUCAGGUUGAAGUUCAGGUAACACUGAAUGGAGGACCGAACCGACUUACGUUGAAAAGUGAGCGGAUGAACUGAGGGUAGCGGAGAAAUUCCAAUCGAACCUGGAGAUAGCUGGUUCUCUCCGAAAUAGCUUUAGGGCUAGCCUCAAGUGAUGAUUAUUGGAGGUAGAGCACUGUUUGGACGAGGGGCCCCUCUCGGGUUACCGAAUUCAGACAAACUCCGAAUGCCAAUUAAUUUAACUUGGGAGUCAGAACAUGGGUGAUAAGGUCCGUGUUCGAAAGGGAAACAGCCCAGACCACCAGCUAAGGUCCCAAAAUA
rnacentral:rRNA from 1 species